CAACUUCUAACGGUGGACCCCUCGGCUCGUGCGUCGAUGAAGAACGCAGCAAACUGCGAUACGUAGUGUGAAUUGCAGAAUUCCGUGAAUCAUCGAGUCUUUGAACGCAAAUUGCGCCCUCGGUUUGAAGCCGGGGGCACGUCUGUCUGAGCGUCCGUUUCGUCUAUUGCUUUCCCAC
rnacentral:rRNA from 1 species